rnacentral:misc_RNA from 1 species
UUUCCGUAGGUGAACCUGCGGAAGGAUCAUUACAGAGUUCAUGCCCUCACGGGUAGAUCUCCCACCCUUGAAUAUUUAUACCUUAGUUGCUUUGGCAGGCCGUGGAAACACCAUGGGCUCCGGCUUAUGCGUGCCUGCCCGAGGAAACAAACUCUGUUUUUAGUGAUGUCUGAGCGCUAUAUAAUAGUUAAAACUUUCAACAACGGAUCUCUUGGUUCUG